GGUAUGGUAGCCGAGUGGGUAAAGCGCUUAUAGCUAUUAAAUAUCGAUGGUUCGAAUCCAUCCUGGAGCA